UACGUAGGCAGCGAGCGUUGUUCGGAGUUACUGGGCGUAAAGGGUGUGUAGGCGGUUGUUUAAGUUUGGUGUGAAAUCUCCCGGCUCAACUGGGAGGGUGCGCCGAAUACUGAAUGACUUGGAGUGCGGGAGAGGAAAGUGGAAUUCCUGGUGUAGCGGUGAAAUGCGUAGAUAUCAGGAGGAACACCGGUGGUGUAGACGGCUUUCUGGACCGUAACUGACGCUGAGGUGCGAAAGCGUGGGGAGCAAACAGG
rnacentral:rRNA from 1 species